rnacentral:rRNA from 1 species
UGAGUUAUUAUGAAGUAGUUAGAAUAUGUAGUGUAGCGGUGAAAUGCAUAGAUAUUACAUAGAAUACCAAUUGCGAAGGCAGAUUACUAAUAAUCAACUGACACUGAUGGACGAAAGCGUGGGUAGCGAACAGGAUUAGAUACCCUGGUAGUCCACGCCGUAAACGAUGGUUACUAGCUGUUUGGACCUUGUGUCUGAGUGGCUAAGCGAAAGUGAUAAGUAACCCACCUGGGGAGUACGUUCGCAAGAAUGAAACUCAAAGGAAUUGACGGGGGCCCGCACAAGCGGUGGAGCAUGUGGUUUAAUUCGAUGAUACGCGAGGAACCUUACCAGGGCUUAAAUGUAAGUUGCAUUAGUUAGAGAUAGCUAUUUCUUCGGACCACUUACAAGGUGCUGCAUGGUUGUCGUCAGCUCGUGCCGUGAGGUGUCAGGUUAAGUCCUAUAACGAGCGCAACCCCUGUUGUUAGUUGCCAGCGAUUCAAGUCGGGAACUCUAACAAGACUGCCAGUGCAAACUGUGAGGAAGGUGGGGGAUGACGUCAAAUCAUCACGGCCCUUACGUCCUGGGCUACACACGUGCUACAAUGGUAGGGACAGAGAGCAGCCACUACGCGAGUAGGAGCGAAUCUAUAAACCCUAUCACAGUUCGGAUCGGAGUCUGCAACUCGACU